rnacentral:rRNA from 1 species
UGGGGAAUCUCGCGCAAUGGCCGAAAGGCUGACGCAGCGACGCCGCGUGCGGGAGGACGCCCCUCGGGGUGUAAACCGCUGUUGCCCGGGACGAAUCGGGGGCUUUGGCCCCCUUGACGGUACCGGGUGAGGAAGCACCGGCUAACUCCGUGCCAGCAGCCGCGGUAAUACGGAGGGUGCGAGCGUUGUCCGGAAUCACUGGGCGUAAAGGGCGCGUAGGCGGCCCGGGAAGCGUGGGGUGAAAGGCCGGGGCUCAACCCCGGCUCGGCCUCGCGGACUCCCGGGCUCGAGCGCAGUAGAGGCGGGUGGAAUUCCGGGUGUAGCGGUGGAAUGCGUAGAGAUCCGGAAGAACACCGGUGGCGAAGGCGGCCCGCUGGGCUGUGGCUGACGCUGAGGCGCGACAGCGUGGGGAGCAAACAG